rnacentral:tRNA from 1 species
UGUUGUGUGGCUUAGUUGGUUGAAGCGCCUGUCAAGUGAAUACGGAAUCGUGGGUUCGAUUCUCACCAGAAUAC